UACGUAGGGGGCCAGCGUUGUUCGGAAUUACUGGGUGUAAAGGGUUCGUAGGCGGUGCGGCAAGUUGGGAGUGAAAUCUCUGGGCUCAACCCAGAGACGGCUUCCAAAACUGCCGUGCUUGAGUGUGAGAGAGGCUCGUGGAAUUGCAGGUGUAGCGGUGAAAUGCGCAGAUAUCGGGAGGAACACCGGUGGCGAAGGCGGUUCUCUGGGCCUGUACUGACGCUGAGGAGCGAAAGCGUGGGGAGCGAACAGG
rnacentral:rRNA from 1 species